GAAGAGGAUGAACCACAACUCAAGGGUGCACAAAUCAUCCUCAGGAACAUCCUCACCAGGAAACUGUAUCUCUAUGUUGGCCACACACAACCCACUGCAGCCAAAGAGAGAUUAAGAUUGAUAAAGCUGAUCUGCUUGAGGCUCUAUAUAAAAAAAUUCCUAAAAAUAGUACAUUAAAGGAAGGUGAUCUAAGUGUCCAAGAAGUCACACUUAACUAUGGUAUGGGGGAUGAAAACCCAAUAGAACAUGCCCGUUUCUACAGCAAGAGGUCACCCAAUGUUGCCAAAGCUAUGCAGAAAGAAGUUGUUUCUGUGUUGCUUCCCUAUAGAUGACACCUUGGAUGUACCCUAGAAUGUCUAUGGGUAGUUUUGAAUUUGCUGGUAUUCUCGUGGCCAGGACAGGGAGCCAUUCGUUCUAGAGACAGUAACUUCCUUUACCUG